GGGGGCACUUACAACCCAGGAAAAAAAUGACAAAUUACUUAAUCAGACAUGGGAUAAACGGGACUUAAUUUCAACAAUUUUGAUUGGGUAGUAAACUGCUGAGACACCUUAUUUUCACAUUUCCCUUCAGUACAAAAUCAUUGCAAGAAAUCUGUCAUUGUAUUAUUGAUGGAGACUCCCUGUCAGGGGGGCCACAGGGGGGUCUGGACUCAGAGUUACAGGGGCACUGGCCCCUGUUGGUACCCCCCUAGAACCGCCCCUGAUGGAAGGUGACCUUUUUUUAAAUAAUCAAUUGUAUCAAUAAUAAUGACAGGCCUAUCUAUUAUCUAUAUCUGUUGAUUGAAGUGUGAAGUGAAGAUUUUAUGGAUAGACUGCAUCAAGAGUGUGUAGGGUAGCAGCUAGCUACACACGGACAUCCACAGGAACAUCCAUAGAUUUCAAUUCCAGUUUGUUGUCCUUGUGUAUCUCUCGCAUACCAGUGUUCUGUUCAAGUAUCCCAUUUCAAUUCACAUUUUUUUUUUGUGUUUCUCUCAUAUAUCUCCACUUAAAGUAGCUUGUUUCUUAAGGUGUGUCAUUUGAGGUGGGGGGUGGGCUCUGCAGUGAUUGGCUCUGGUGUGCAUGUGGCUAUGGUGUCUAUGGUUGACAAUGCUGGUGGAAUUCGCAAAUCAUUUGUUAAAUCCGCCUCAUGUCAUUAUUCAUUAUUCUUUUUUCUAUUUAUUUUCUUUUUUGUUUGUAUCUUUUUUAUGUAUUCCUUGUUUUGUUUUCACACAGAUACACACACACAUACACGGCUGGCCGACUGUUAGGUUGAUGGAGAAGCGUCCUUCCUCCUGUCAUGCCUCCCGACUGUCCUACUGACUCUUUCUCACAUUUCUGCCCUAAAAACAACGUCUGUCACCGACAAAAAAAAACAAAAAAACACCUAGUGUUUGUGAUGAAAAUAAAUCAGCCCUCAGCCUCUGUCCCCGCGAGUGAGUCAGACAGCAUCAAGUUUACUGAUGACGAUCAUGAAAUUAUGUAAUUUUGAGCGAAAAACCUAACUUUGUCACUUUCCAGGAUAUUUGGUGAGUCAGUAUCUUAAUCACUGCACAUUGUAACAGCAUCCAUAUGAUUUUAAACUGUCCGCGGGUUUUGAUUGACAGGGGACACCGGAGGGAACACCGAACCCCGGCUGGCUGGCCAUCGGUCCUUUUCUUUGUGCCAGACUUAACUCUGUGUCUUGAGUUAUCGUUAAGCCACCGCAGCUGCAUCUUUUUGAUAAUGCCGCUCGGGUAGAGAUUGAGGAAGAGACGUCGCCUGCAUCUGUGCAGUGCGACCUGAUGCAGCACCUGAAAUGAGACUCAGGAAACAGAAAUAUUGCAAAAUAAUAAUAAUAGCGAGACAAAAUAACGUUAUGACAUUUCGUCUUGUCUCGUUUUGGUCAACGAAAAUCAAGAGAUACUUUAGCAGAGUUUUUAUUUUGUAAACCACAUUUAGUCCCGUUUUUAUUCGUCAGCAAUAUUGCAUUAUAUAUUUGAUUAUAGUUUUCGUCACAUGACCACUAUUUACGUUGUGUCUCGUUUCCUCCGUUCGAUAAAUGUUCGUUGACGAUGGUAUUUAGUCAUAAUUUUUGUUGACGAAAGCAACACUACUCUGAUCCUGAUCUGCAUAGAUAUUUGAGGCACACACACACACAGAUAGACCGACAGACAGAGCUGUCUUGUUUUUAUAGAGAGAUGUCAUUCACCCACUCAGGUGAGUCCAAGGCCAUGAUGAAUCUGUCUCCACUGUCUGGGGCCCAUCUGUAGGUAGGAUUUAAUUUAAACAGCUUACUGGGUUCCCUUUUUGAGUCACUCAUUUGAUCUGAGAGUUUAAAGAACAUCUUUAUUUGGUUGUGGUCUGAACGGGGGGAUAGCUGUCUGACAGUGAAUGCAAUGAUAGUGGAGAGCUCCAUGUCAGUGAUUGCACAGUCUAUUACACUAGACCCAAGAGCUGAGGAGUAUGUGAAUCUCCUUAAAGAGUCCCCUCUGAGCCUACCAUUAACUACGUACAGGCCUAGGCCUGUCAGAGAUGCACCAUCUCCCUGCCACUUUGAUUUAUUUCAGACUCAAGGUUGUUCCGACAGGUGAUGGUUGGUGUGGUAAAAAGGGGGGCCUGACCAAAUACAUGGUUGUUGCUCUGUGGAUCCAUGACAUCAGGUUCAAUUCCUGUUCUCCUUUCAGAUCUCCAGUAAGAAGCAUGUUUCCCUGAGCCUGGAAGUAGGCAAUUUCUGAAUGGAGAGUGUCAAAAAUGUUUUCUUCAAAAAAAGGAGAAUCUACUGGGGUGAUAUCUGACGGCAAAGAUUUCCUUUAUACCACACCAAGAUCCCCCCCGAUGAUCUACAGAGGGCACCAUGACUUCAUUAUAUCCUUGGAGGACAGUCACUUGCCCUUCCUCUUGUAUCCCUGGUCUGACGUCAUCCCUAAUUCCUGAUUGUUUUCACCUGUGUUCCCUUCCCCCAUGUGUAUAAAGUCUUUGUCUUCCCCUGUCUGCAUCGCCAAAGUAUUUCGUCUUCCAUGUCAUGUACCGAAGCCCUGAUCCACAGUUUUGUUCCUAGUCCUGAUAAGUAUUGUUCUUGUUUUAUUUAUCUGAAUUUUGUCCUCUUGAAAAGAGUGAUUUUGAGUUUGUACUUUUCUGGUUAGGUUUUGUGUUUUGCAUUUUGAGAUUUCAUAGCUUUUCUUUUCUCCUCCUUGUGAGCGAUUUUUUGUUAAGUUUGAUAAGAAAGAGUAGAUAUUUUUCAUAGCCUUUGCGCUUCCUCUUCGGAGUGAUUUUGUUUUGUAAUUUUGAUACUUUACUACAUUUCAAGAAUAGAGUAGGUUUUCCUCCUGCGGGAGCAUUUUGUGUUCUGUGUUUCAUAUUGUUUGUCUUGUACGUCUUCUAGAUUUUCAUAGCCAUUCUGUUAUCAUUCGUUCUGAAGACUUGCAAAAACAGAUUAAUAAAACUUGACAUUACUUC